UAUACAGCGAAACUGCGAAUGGCUCAUUAUAUAAGUUAUCGUUUAUUUGAUAGUGCCUUACUACUUGGAUAACCGUGGUAAUUCUAGAGCUAAUACAUACUAAAAACCCCGACUUCGGAAGGGGUGUAUUUAUUAGAUACAAAACCAAUGCCCUUCGGGGCUCUUUGGUGAUUCAUGAUAACUAUACGAAUCGCACGGCCUUGCGCCGGCGAUGGUUCAUUCAAAUUUCUUCCCUAUCAACUUUCGAUGUUUGGGUAUUGGCCAAACAUGGUUGCAACGGGUAACGGAGGGUUAGGGCUCGACCCCGGAGAAGGAGCCUGAGAAACGGCUACUACAUCCAAGGAAGGCAGCAGGCGCGCAAAUUACCCAAUCCCGACUCGGGGAGGUAGUGACAAUAAAUACUGAUACAGGGCCCUUUCGGGCCUUGUAAUUGGAAUGAGUACAAUUUAAAUCCCUUAACGAGGAACAAUUGGAGGGCAAGUCUGGUGCCAGCAGCCGCGGUAAUUCCAGCUCCAAUAGCGUAUAU
rnacentral:rRNA from 1 species